UACGUAGGGUCCGAGCGUUGUCCGGAAUUAUUGGGCGUAAAGAGCUCGUAGGCGGUUUGUCGCGUCUGCUGUGAAAACUGGAGGCUCAACCUCCAGCCUGCAGUGGGUACGGGCAGACUAGAGUGCGGUAGGGGAGAUUGGAAUUCCUGGUGUAGCGGUGGAAUGCGCAGAUAUCAGGAGGAACACCGGUGGCGAAGGCGGGUCUCUGGGCAGUAACUGACGCUGAGGAGCGAAAGCGUGGGGAGCGAACAGG
rnacentral:rRNA from 1 species